UCGUGAACAUCUAAAUAUAGUGAACUUGAUAGAUUCACUUAUGGGGAGAAAAACGUCUGUCCAUUUUUGGAAAAGAGAAGAAGAGAAAGACGGGACAGAAGGAAACUAACACCCCAGAGUUGAGCAGACUGCUUUGGCCACACUGACCAGAGGUGCCUUAGGACAGAGGGAAGCCAGCUGGAGUGCAGAUUCUUCGUCUCUGCAGGCCUUCAGUUGCUGUGACCAGCACUCACUCAGGGACCUCCAAUGCUCUAAGUUUCCACUCACCAGAAUCCAUCGGCAAAUGAUGAGCUUCAGGAAUUGCACAAGAAUACCACAUUCCAGGGUCAAAUGGACAAGUCGCUCAACUCUUUCUCUAUAACGUAAGGGGAGGCAAAAUCAAGCUGGAAGAUGGCUACUUCUGAGAUACAGUAUUUACUUGCUCAAAGCUCUAGGAAUCCAGACAUUGAGAUCAGGCUCAGAGAAAUGGCUCCUUCCAUCACCCUGUGGAAGAAUCUGGAGCCUGGGAGGCCUUAGGGCUGGAGCUUGUCACCCACUGGGUUGACUUUCAUGCACAGAACCCUGCUGAGUCACCAAGGCAGUCACUGCUAUUAUGCAACAAACCAGGACACCUUUGGUUGC